CCUGGCUCUAGAGUCGGAGGA
rnacentral:miRNA from 1 species